CAUGUCCCUUAGCACGGCGAACGCCGAGCUAAGGCAUGCACCUUGAGGUUGAGACGCUUUUGGAAAACAACUUGGGUCCGGCUACGGUUCCGGCUUAGAGGCGUUCAGCCGUUAUCGCUCAGAGGAACCGCGGAAACAGAGCAACGGUUUGCGCGCUCGCUCGAUACUA